UGGGGAAUAUUGGACAAUGGGCGCAAGCCUGAUCCAGCAACGCCGCGUGGAGGAUGAAGGUCUUCGGAUCGUAAACUCCUGUCAGAUGGGACGAAGGCAACGGAGGUGAACAACGCUGUUGCUUGACGGUACCGUCAGAGGAAGCCCCGGCUAACUCCGUGCCAGCAGCCGCGGUAAUACGGAGGGGGCGAGCGUUAUUCGGAAUUAUUGGGCGUAAAGGGCGCGUAGGCGGCCCGCUAAGUCAAAGGUGAAAUCCCUCGGCUCAACUGAGGAACUGCCUUUGAGACUGUCGGGCUUGAGGCCGGGAGGGGGUAGCGGAAUUCCCAGUGUAGCGGUGAAAUGCGUAGAUAUUGGGAGGAACACCAGUGGCGAAGGCGGCUACCUGGACCGGUUCUGACGCUGAUGCGCGAAAGCGUGGGUAGCAAACAG
rnacentral:rRNA from 1 species